rnacentral:rRNA from 1 species
ACGAACGCUGGCGGCGUGCCUAACACAUGCAAGUCGAACGGAAAGGCCCUGCUUUUGUGGGGUGCUCGAGUGGCGAACGGGUGAGUAACACGUGAGUAACCUGCCCUUGACUUUGGGAUAACUUCAGGAGACUGGGGCUAAUACCGGAUAGGAGCUCCUGCUGCAUGGUGGGGGUUGGAAAGUUUCGGCGGUUGGGGAUGGACUCGCGGCUUAUCAGCUUGUUGGUGGGGUAGUGGCUUACCAAGGCUUUGACGGGUAGCCGGCCUGAGAGGGUGACCGGCCACAUUGGGACUGAGAUACGGCCCAGACUCCUACGGGAGGCAGCAGUGGGGAAUAUUGCACAAUGGGCGGAAGCCUGAUGCAGCAACGCCGCGUGCGGGAUGACGGCCUUCGGGUUGUAAACCGCUUUCGCCUGUGACGAAGCGUGAGUGACGGUAAUGGGUAAAGAAGCACCGGCUAACUACGUG